rnacentral:tRNA from 1 species
UAUUAAGCUCAGUGGUAGAGCGGUCAGCUGUUAACCGAUUGAUCAUAGGUUCGAAUCCUACUUUGAGAG